rnacentral:lncRNA from 1 species
UUUCAUUUUUGCAUCUUCCCCAGAUCACUGCUGGUCAACAGGUCAACAAAAGAGGCAGUGGAGGCUGAGGAGGUCGCCAUCCACAACCGACAACGACAACGCGACGCCUCUGCCGCCUCAAGAGCCACCGCUGCCUAUCCGUACUCACGCCACCGUUCCUCCUGUGCCGAAAGGUACAGGACACCCUUCGCCACCCCUACCCCAUCCCUAAUAUGUCUCCUCUCUCCCGAUAAGUAUCCCUGA